UACGUAGGGCGCAAGCGUUAUCCGGAAUUAUUGGGCGUAAAGAGCUCGUAGGCGGUUUGUCGCGUCUGCCGUGAAAGUCCGGGGCUCAACUCCGGAUCUGCGGUGGGUACGGGCAGACUAGAGUGAUGUAGGGGAGACUGGAAUUCCUGGUGUAGCGGUGAAAUGCGCAGAUAUCAGGAGGAACACCGAUGGCGGAAGGCAGGUCUCUGGGCAUUAACUGACGCUGAGGAGCGAAAGCAUGGGGAGCGAACAGG
rnacentral:rRNA from 1 species